UUCCGGGACCACUGAGGCCGGAAGCAGCCUAUCAUUUCCUGUCUUAGCACUACGGUAGCCGAGCGAGUUCAAACCUCGGGGAACCGCGCCUGAAGCUCGGGGAUCCUCAGUUCUGGGAAAGUGGAAGGUAUAGACCCUAUAUUGGAAGAGGGUCACCUCCGGCAGGACUCAUCUGUGGGGGAGGAGGCAAUAACGAUAGAGGAUGAGUGAGGGCCUCUGCCACCCACCUUACCCCUUACUCUCCACACUGAAGACCGCAAUGCCCUAUAGGAACACCAGGGGGUACCCUCGGACCAGCAGAGCCUCAGCUCACCCACGAUCAGGGCCUUGGUGCGAAGCC